rnacentral:lncRNA from 1 species
AUUCACUACAUUUACUUGUAUGACUAUGAAUGACAUUAACACACUGAAAAUCUUCAAGUUCCUUAAAGAAGUUUUUUCUCAUAAAUUAACCCUGGCUGCCUAACCAAAUUACAUUUUCAAGAAAGUAUGUCCUCUGAAAUUGCUUAUAGUAUGUACCUCACACACAAAGUUACCUAUCUUAGUUACUCUGGUUGCCAGCAGAGUGAUUCACUUUCAAUAACAGUUUUGUUUGUAAUUUUCUAGGAACUACAGCCCUUUACUCAUCAAGCAACAGUAAACCAAAACUGCCAACAUUGUUUACCAUGUUGAAAAAUUAAAAUUAUCUUCAUGAAUAGUGCUCAAAUGCUGGUACAUGGCUAAAUGAAUCAUCUUUGUCUUAAAGCAGAAAGGUGACAAAGCCUAUGAGGACUCUGGAUUACUUGGAAUAAAGAAAGACAAGGAAGAGAAAGCUAAAUAACAGACUGAAAAGAGGAGAAAAACUAACCUAAAAUUCCACCGAUGGAUUGCAUCAUGUAUGCUUAAGACUGGCUACUACACCACUCUUUCUGAUGCUGAAGAUAAAAAGGACUAUGUUUCACUCUGUUUUAAAGUUAAUUUGUGCUUAUUAAGAUCUCAGGUUAUUCCACAAACAACUGGUAUUUGUAUCAACUGGUAACAAUUGCAAGUGACCGUAAGACUUUGAAAUACUCUGAAACAUUGCAGACCUCACUUUAUGUAAGAAGGCUCUUUGAACAUUUUUAAAGUAGCACUUUUUAUACAGAGACUUAAAUAAAACCCAGUGCUAUCACUUACUGUACCAUAAUGAAACAAAAAUCGGAUGGAACUUGCCCAUCACAGAACCUAACUUGAGAGAAUCUGGUAUCUUUCAAUCUUGUAGUCAGUGCAUUUGUAGACUAUAAUAUUAUUAAACAACUUCUUAAUGUUACUCUUUGAAUCAUCAGAAGGCUUACAACUUUCGUCUUGAUUACAAUUCCAAUUUUCCCUUUCACCUAUUGUGUUUUAUAAGAUAAGAUAGGUGAGUGGAAUGCGCUCAUUUGUCAUUUGUUCUCUCUACGUAACGCAGUCUCCUCUUACUGUGGUUACACUUCCAAAGUGAAUUAUUUGUCAGAUUCAGUAAGCAUUUCCUUUCUAAUUGCCUAACUCAGUAGAGAUGUUGUAACUUAAGAGACGGGUGUGGUCUGGAGUGUUGAUCCUCAACAUAGCAUGGUCCACUGGUCACUGUAUACGAAGUGAGCCCUUCAGAGCCGUGGGAGUCCAG